rnacentral:tRNA from 1 species
AGUUAUUGAACUUGCUAUAAGUGUAUAUUUUGAAAAUAUAAAAAAGAAGUAGUAAUCUUCUAAUAACUU